rnacentral:rRNA from 1 species
GAUGAACGCUGGCGGCGUGCCUAAUACAUGCAAGUCGAGCGAAUGGAUUAAGAGCUUGCUCUUAUGAAGUUAGCGGCGGACGGGUGAGUAACACGUGGGUAACCUGCCCAUAAGACUGGGAUAACUCCGGGAAACCGGGGCUAAUACCGGAUAACAUUUUGAACCGCAUGGUUCGAAAUUGAAAGGCGGCUUCGGCUGUCACUUAUGGAUGGACCCGCGUCGCAUUAGCUAGUUGGUGAGGUAACGGCUCACCAAGGCAACGAUGCGUAGCCGACCUGGGAGGGUGAUCGACACCACUGGGACUGGGACACGGCCCAGACUCCUACGGGAGGCAGCAGUAGGGAAUCUUCCGCAAUGGACGAAAGUCUGACGGAGCAACGCCGCGUGAGUGAUGAAGGCUUUCGGGUCGUAAAACUCUGUUGUUAGGGAAGAACAAGUGCUAGUUGAAUAAGCUGGCACCUUGACGGUACCUAACCAGAAAGCCACGGCUAACUACGUGCCAGCCGCCGCAGUAA